rnacentral:lncRNA from 1 species
UUUUUAUUUUUAUUAAGAAAGAGAUUUUGAGUUGAUUCUAUUUUUUGCUGGUUUAUAUGCCUUUUUCCCAGGCAUUCGUAAUUCUUCAGAAUGUUUGAGGUACCAUAAGUAUACGAAGUAUACAGAUUGCUACAGAUUGGUCUGUUUUUGACAGAUUCUGUUUUUGUUGAGUUGGUUGCUUGUUUUGAUGAAACUUUGGAUAGUAACGGGG